UACGGAGGAUCCAAGCGUUAUCCGGAAUCAUUGGGUUUAAAGGGUCCGUAGGCGGGCUUGUAAGUCAGUGGUGAAAUCUCCCGGCUCAACCGGGAAAUUGCCAUUGAUACUGCUAGUCUUGAAUUAUUGGGAAGUAACUAGAAUAUGUAGUGUAGCGGUGAAAUGCUUAGAGAUUACAUGGAAUACCAAUUGCGAAGGCAGGUUACUAUCAAUAUAUUGACGCUGAUGGACGAAAGCGUGGGUAGCGAACAGG
rnacentral:ncRNA from 2 species